CUUUAAUGGAUCUUCACUAUAUAAUUGUUCUAAUUUUUUCUGAAUUAUUUCUAUUUUAUUUAUUGAAAAUAUAGUUAUUUCUGUUUUAUUUAUCGAAAAUACUACUAGUUCUACUGUAUCUUCAGUAUUUUUUAUAUUUUCUAACUUUUGUGUAAUUUUUUCACUUCCUUUUAUCCAAUCAGUUUUCUUUCUUAUUUUA
rnacentral:lncRNA from 1 species